CUGCUGGCUUCUUACUGUCUUUGAGGCUCGGGACCAGCACUCCUGCUGUUGGACAGAAAGACAUCAACUCAGUGACUUGAGAUAUGACUGCACCGUGCUGUUGCUGGUGACCACAGUUAAUUCUACAAGACAUGCUGUGACAACAGGAGAGAUGAGUCCUCCGUCACAGAUGGUGUGGUCAGUGAAGAUGGUCGCCUGCAGGUUCAAGCUCAUUGCAUCUCCAACCCACAUCCACUGCCACUGUACUUAAGGGAAGUUAAAGACUUUCUUCUGCACCUACAUUUGGAUCACCUCGAUCCAUGACAGUCAUUCAGGCAGUAAUGCCUGGACUGGAAACAAGCCAUCCUUAAAAUAAUACAACAUUCCAGCUCAUGUGUUGGAAUGGAAAACAAAUGUGUUGUUUAAAUUAGAGACUGCACUUGUGACAGAACAAUAAAUAUUUUAUUUUGAUUAUAUAAGUAAUGUAAGUACAAAACAAACUGUGGUAGACCUAAACUUAUUUUCAGAAUAAUUACAUCUGAGACUUUGUUUCAUUGUAAGAUUAUAACAGUGAUGGCAAUAUAAUUGUUUGUGU
ensembl:lncRNA